CACGUAGGGGGCGAGCGUUGUCCGGAUUUAUUGGGCGUAAAGAGCGUGUAGGCGGCCCGGUAAGUCCGCCGUGAAAGUCCAGGGCUCAACCCUGGAAUGCCGGUGGAAACUGCCGGGCUGGAGUCCGGAAGAGGCGAGUGGAAUUCCUGGUGUGGCGGUGAAAUGCGCAGAUAUCAGGAGGAACACCAAUGGCGAAGGCAGCUCGCUGGGACGGUACUGACGCUGAGACGCGAAAGCGUGGGGAGCAAACAGG
rnacentral:rRNA from 1 species